AACAACCACAUUCACUGGGGGUUCAGUCUUGGCAGGACCAAAUUUUUAAAAGGAGAGAAAUAAUCUUUUCCAGAAAAAAAAGAAAAAGUAAAAGUCUCAAUAAAACACUCUCUAGUUUCUCUACCAAAUUCUACUAAUCUCUACCAAAUCUCUACUUGUUUCAACUAGGAUGCUAAUUUUAAAUGUAAGCAACAUAUUUUGUGAUGUUGACAUUUUAUUAAGAGAUUUCGUGUAAUUUUUUAUUGUGUGCACUCUUCCAUCAUAUUUUACAUCAUAUUUUUUAAUCGUCCAGGUACCACGGGUAUUAUCAGAAAACAUGGACCGUCGAAUACAAUAUUUACCAAACUGUCAGAUAAUAGAUUUACUGUAUCUUCUUCUUUAUUCGAUGUUUAUAUUUGUAUUAGUCUUUCCCCUACAUAUAUCCAGAUAUAUGCAUUCCUUAUUUAUAGUCUUACUAUAUAUUUUCUUAUGCAGCAUCAUACUGAGUCCUCAGAGAUUCCAUAAACUUAAUGAAUUAUUUUGUGAACGUCUACAAGAGCUCACAGUAAGACUUGAGGAUGGCUAUUGAGCCCAUAUAGGAAUGAAACUGGAAUUUGGAUGUCUCAGUAAUUAAUAGCAAUCAAUAUUUAUGGAGUGCUUACAUUGCACGAAGUCCCUGGUGAGUUCAUUUUAUUUACUUCAGACUCUCUUGUGACGGAGUGUUUAAUAAUAUUCUAUUAUUUUCACAGAAACUGAGGCUGAGGAAGAUUGCCUAUGGUUACAGAAAAAAUAUCUGCACAACUAAGAGUCCAGAGCUUAAAUGGCUGUUUACUCUAAGAAUCCAGAUUCUCUACAUUCAUUCCUGCACCUGCAUCCCUGGGCAGUUUUGCCGAGUCUGAAGUCUGCCAUUGCACCUCCUACCAAACCCGAAGGAAGGAGAGUGAUACAAUCUCAGGAGGAGUCUCCUGUGAGGUCUGUCUGCUGUAGGUGGGGUACCUGGUACAGACAAAUUACAUGGAAUUCACUAAAACAGUAAUUUAACAUUGUUGGCACAUAGCUCUUAUGGCUUUCUCAUCUUGCAAGAUGGCAGGUGAAAUUGUUAAGCAGCCAGACAGUAAAGAAAAGCUUUUUGAAGUCCAGCACUCUGCUACUCAUAGCAAAGCUACCGUGGAGCAAUUUUCAUAGCUCAACAUCAGGAAAAGGAGAAGCCUGAUGCAGUCAUAGCCUGCCCACAUAAGAGAAGUUGAAAGAUCCUGCAUAUAUGCCGUGUCCUAGAAGGAUGAUCCAAGAGGAUACAUUUAGGUACUAAUUCUGGGACUGCAGAGUAAACAGAGGAGGGUUUUGGUUCUGCCAUAAAAUCAGCCAGCAGGGAUGAGUACAGCGUAGUCUGGUGGUGAAGCAUCACAAACACCUGAUUUCGAAGAGGCACCUUGGAAGCUGAGCCGUUAAGUGCAAAAACAAACCUGCCACCACAAGUGGGAAGAUCAAGAGAAGGCAUCGUUCCCUGGCCCAUUCUCAAGGCCCUAUUUGCACUAGAGAGGCUACUGGUCAAUGAUGUGCUCUGUGUGAUGGAAUGGACUUUAUCAUCCCAGUCACUCUUUUAUAAAACAUUCCAGGGUGUGUUAUUUCCAAUUCCAGAAAAAUCAACAUCAAGCUAUGCCUGUGCAUUGAAUUGUUUCCCUUGUGUUUCCUUCCAGUGGAUUCACAUCGUCAGGUUUUACAUUAAGGUCUUUGAACAAAGUGUUUUAGAUGACUGUACGAAGUGCCCAAUGAAGCCUAUUUAAUAUAUACAAAUAAAAAUGAAAAUUCUAGAACAGCUCAUGCUUAACCUCAAGAAGAGAGAAGCUACAGAAAUGGAGGCAACGUGAAGAUGGGAAACUCUAAGUUGGCAGAGAUGAAGGGCGCACAUUUCAGAGAGAGAGAGAGAGAGAGAGAGAGAGAGAGAGAGAGAGAGAGAGAGGAGAGUACUUUUAUCGAAAACUCAAACUGUUCCACAGACACAGCACUCUGUGUCAUCUAUGCUUUUCUCCCCUCCCUAUCAAAUGAUAUUUAAUAUUACACUUGAUGACCUAAUUUUUUUUCUGAAGAACCUAAUUAAGUAAUGAAUACAUUUAAGCAAUAUGAAGAACACAGGCUAUCAUAUUAUAGCCCUCAGUUCUUGUGGGGGAAGCUUUUGUUCCUAAGUCAUAACUGUGACAUUUGAGGGAGAAGGAUAAUGAUAAGUAGGUAUCAAAAUUUUAGAAACUGCAAGGAAGGGAGAGUUAAAAUUACUGAAUUUCGUGCUACAAAAUACUGGUGAAGCAUAUUCUUUAAAAAGGUGGAUUUGAUGAUAUGUAAAUUAUGUCUCAAAAAAGAAAAGAUGUUACUGCCAAAACUAAAAAGUAGAUGAUUAGUUCCCCAGAAAGAGAAAAAACCUGAACUCUGGGUAAUGAAACAAACCGAGUUCUGAUUUUUGUAAGGCCAUUUCCCUCUUGCUCUUAAUCCUCAUCUCAUAUAUAAAUAAAUAAAGUGUAUUGAUUAGCUCAAUGCCAAAGCCCAUUCCAGUGGCAAUGUUCUGCCUUUGAAGACUUCUGUUGAGAUAGACAAGACAAAGAAAUGACUCUGUAUUACUACCUUGGGUGAGAUGGUUUUGGGGUCUGAGCCCAUUUUUACUUCUCUAAAGGUAUACACAAAUGUGCAAAGGCAUAUGGGGCCCCUUAGCUAUGAAAGACUGCCCUAAUUUACUAGGUAGGAAUCAAGACAACAUAUAUUUGAUGUUUUAGCUUGUAAUAAGUCCUCCCAAGAAAAUCUUUGUCUAUCACAAGAACAAAAUCCCACAUAAUAUUUAGAAAGGCAUGGUUUUAUUCACCUGAAUAAGGCGAUGACACCUGAAGGCUUGCUUAUUACCUCAACGCCUAAAAUAAUAAGCAUGGUGUAAUUUGAGUGAGUUAGAGAAUUUUUGUUAUAAUGCAACAAUCCUAUUGUUACUUGAUUAACUUGCUUUAAUCGCAGGCUACUAGACAGUAAACUCCUUUGAAGAACCAGCCAACCAGAAGCAUGUGACAGGUCCAACAGGUUUAUGGGUCCUUGUCAGUGGUUAUAUUUCAAUUGCCCUAAUUUUCAUCUAAGGCCACUCCAAAAGAUUGUACCUGGAUUUUGGAUGAGUUUUGGAUAGUUGGAACUGAAGAAAGACUUUAAGAAGCUGGGCCACUAUCUACUGGACAAAUGCUUGUUGUCCAGUUGUUAACAUUGGUUAUAUCUUCAGGUGAAUUUCUGUAGCCUCCUGUGACACUGCAAGUCACCCGAUGUAUAGCUGUGGCAUUUCUUCUACAAUAUACCUAUGGAGCACAUGGUCUUUGUAUCAGUGUAGUUCUUUGAUUAAUCUUUGGUGCAAAAAAAAAAAAAUAAAACCACAAAAAACCAAAACAACUACAAAUAAAACCUUUCCAAAGGAAAAGGGAAUAUUUACAUUUUCCUAAUCAAAUCAAUAGGUAAAUGUGCAUUGAAUAAAGUAAAAAAUUCAUUCACUUGCUUCAUGAGAAAUCAAACUUAUGACCAAUUUACUUUCUUAACUACCUUCUUACAAAUGUAAAUUUUACCGUCACUAAGGCCUCUCUUUGUUUCAUGCUUUGAGGAGAGUGCAGACACUGAAAAGGGAAUUGACUUUACAGAGAGUUAGAUCACCUUUUCUUAAUUUUAAACCUCAUACUGUCACCUAGGAAGGAUGUAACAGACAAAAAUUGUACAUUUACUUCAUGCUGUGUGUCGGAUGCAGUGUGAGGCACGUGCUCACAAAAGCCUGAAAGGUAGUUGGGAUUUUUUUCCUAUUCGAAUAAAGAACAGAUUGUCAGAGCCAAUUUCAAGCCAUACAAAUUUGGGGGUCCUAUAAAGCAUGUCAGUACCCUUCACCCCAAGGGACUGGGCACACUACACAGGGAUAGUAAGUAUUCUUAUCAGUGAGAACUUAGGAAAUACCUUUUGUUCUUAGAUUAAUUUUUUUCAUUGUAGGUUUCACAAAUAAAUAUUUGAAGACAAAGGAGAGAAAGGAGUAGAAUUUAAAUGGCAGCUGUUCUUCUAAUACUGCACUGGAGGACAAUCCUUUUUGCCUAGUGAAUACAACAUGGUAGGAGAUUACACGGGAGAAAUAACAAGAGAGAGAGAGAG